AGUAGUUGUACGUCUGGCGUCAGGACGAACGCUGGCGGCGUGCUUAACACAUGCAAGUCGUACGGUAAGGCCCUUUCGGGGGUACACGAGUGGCGAACGGGUGAGUAACACGUGAGUAACCUGCCCACAACUUUGGGAUAACGCUAGGAAACUGGUGCUAAUACUGGAUAUGUGCUCCUGCUGCAUGGUGGGGGUUGGAAAGCUCCGGCGGUUGUGGAUGGACUCGCGGCCUAUCAGCUUGUUGGUGGGGUAGUGGCCUACCAAGGCGGCGACGGGUAGCCGGCCUGAGAGGGUGACCGGCCACAUUGGGACUGAGAUACGGCCCAGACUCCUACGGGAGGCAGCAGUGGGGAAUAUUGCACAAUGGGCGCAAGCCUGAUGCAGCAACGCCGCGUGCGGGAUGACGGCCUUCGGGUUGUAAACCGCUUUCAGCAGGGACGAAGCUUUUUGUGACGGUACCUGCAGAAGAAGCACUGGCUAACUACGUG
rnacentral:rRNA from 1 species